UUUGAGAUGGGGUCACCUUAGCUCAGUUUCCCCUCAGACUUGCCACAUGGUCAAGAAUAGGCUUGAAUUCUUGGUCCUUUUCAUGUUCAAGUGUCUGUGCCAUGCCUGGUUACUUUAAGUUCUCUGGGUCAGCAUCUCACUCUCUAGCGUAGGCUGACCUAGAACUCACAGCAAUCCUUCUGCCUCAGCCUCUUGAGUGUUAGGAUUCCAUGAAAGAGUCUCCAUGCCCAGUUGCUGCUGGCUCUUUGGAGCCAUGGUACUGAGAGUAGCCUGCCCAGGGCUCAGUAAGUGGCCAAGGCCGGUGAAACCAGGAGGAUAUGGUAGGAUUUGGUACUGGUGGAAUGGACAAACAUUGGCUGUGCAACUCCAGGAACGGCUCCUGACCCAGCAGGAAGUUCCUCCUCCUCCUCCCUAGGGCUGCAGGGAGGAGGAAUGGGAAGGGAUAGGAGUAGUUGGUCCUUGGGAUGCUUUCAAGUUCUGGAAUUGGGUGUGAGACACAUAGGGUGGGGUCUGCUGGCAAGGAGAAGGGACCUGAUCUCCACAAAGCCCAAGACCUACUCCAAAGCACACAGAUCCAUCCAGUGUGCUCCACAAGAACAAUGUCAUAGGAUACUGAUGUCUCCUUCCCAGAGCCCACCACGUUCCAAAGAUUAUCACAAGCCACAUAAAGGGACCAGCCACCCAAAGCUAUGAGUGGGUCUUGUUCAUAGCCUUUCUGAGACUCAGCAGCCAGUCCUCUGGUCACAGAGGACAUAAAGGAGGUUUCCCCCGUGGCUGCCUCAUAGCAGUUUAGUGGCUGUAAGGAAGGGGUGAAUGUAUGCAGGGUGCACAGAGAGAAGCUGUGUGCCCAUAGGACCAUGGACUCCAGUCACUUAACAUAGGUAUGUCCUUGAAUUUAUAGAGGACGGAGAUACGUGAGCCAGCCCUUAGCCCACGAAAGAGACGGAGAGAGAGUCUUUGGCACGGGUGUGGGGGGGAGGGUCCUGAGAAGUGUUGCAGGGAGCCUUCAGUGUGUAAGCAGAGGGCUCCAGAGGAAAAAACAGGGUGAGCAUCUAGUAGAAAGCCAAUGGGGCAGAGCUGUUUUAGUUCCGUCUGGUCUGCGCCUCCCUCCUUGGGCUCUAACUUCCGGCAGCCUCCACCGUCUGGACAAUGACUCUUCUGGGUUUGGCCAGAUCCACCCCAAAACCUAUAAACCAAUUUUGGUGCCAAAAGCGUCAAUGCAGGGCACUAAGAACUGGGAAGCCUUCUAGGUAAAGCCCACUUGAAAAGGUGCUUCCCGAACUGUGAUUGGACCUUGGACCAAUCAAUCAAGAAAGCUUUAAACAGAACCAAUCAGAGGCCAGCUGCAGCUUAAGGGCAGCCCUGAAGUCUACAAACAGGAAGUGGGGAGGCCUAGCCUGUAUGAGAAAUGAAGAAGGGAGCGCCACUACCUGGAGGCCUCCGGUGUUGGAGUACUCUGCCUGGUCGCUGGGAUUGAGAAUUGGCACUGGGUUGGGGGGAAAAUACAGACUUCUAAACCAGAACUGGCAGCUGUGGUCAUACCCUAAUGGUGGCUACGCAUUUGACUUGUAGAUCAUCGGUCAGCACCAGACCAGCUCGGACCUCAUCAGCUAAGAUGGGCUAGUACCCAGGGACAGACAGGCUGCAGGGUAUGAAUGCCCUCAGCAUCGCAGCCUAAUGCUGUGGGACUUUGAGUUUCUGUACCCAAGAUGAUCAGGCUCAGUGUUAUCAGUGACAAACUCGUUCCAGCCAUGGACCAGCCUACGCUGGGCUACUGCAAAUUCUGACAGGCCGCUGUCCAGGUCCACCUAGAAGGAGAUAGGAAUGUAGGGUGAGCAGUGCCAGCUCCAGCGAGGACCAAAGAGUGAAGUCACAGGUGCCUGGCACUCGUGAGAAUGUGUCUGUAGCUGGCAUCUCCACACCAUAAAAGAUGAAGAGUGAGAGACAGGCGUGGCAAAGAAGUUGAGCCCCAAUGAGAAGAGGCUGGAGAGAGCCAGGCUGAGCAGUUUCCUCACAGUUUCCGUUCUCAUCAUUGACAAAGGAGCAUCGGAUGGAAGGACUCUAGCAGGGGCUGAAGCGGGUGGCUCCUGGGACAGGGGCACCGCUGACUGAGAUUUUGUGCAGAAAUCCAAAUUACUCCACACCCAUAGCUUUGUGGUGCUUUCUCUCAAUCCACAAACUACCUCACGAUGGUAUCGGAGACGUGCUGGCUCACCUUGUUGACUUGACAGGACUUAAAGUGCCUGUGAAAUCAAUUCGGGAUAUGUCUUAUGAGGGCAUUUCCAGAGAGAUCUAACUGAGGUAGGACCCACCCUGAAUGUACAUAGCUCCAUCCUGAGUGGGAGGCCCAGGUAAGCAUCAGCAUCCGACUCUCUCUGCUUCCUGGCUCAGAGGCAGUGAGACCGGCUGCCUCACGCUCUGUCUCUAUGUCUGCACUGUACCUGGAAGUCAGUAUAGCCCUCACCCCAUAAGCUGCACUGUCUUUCACGACAGAUAUAAAAUAGACACCGUGACAAAGUUCUUACGUGGAAGGUUCUGGCCAACUCCUCCUUGCUGCAUUUGCACGCUUCCCUGGGUGGCAGG
rnacentral:sRNA from 1 species